rnacentral:rRNA from 1 species
AUUGAACGCUGGCGGCAGGCUUAACACAUGCAAGUCGAACGAGUGGCGGACGGGUGAGUAAUGCUUGGGAAUCUAGCUUAUGGAGGGGGUAAAUACUGGAAACGGUGGCUAAUACCGCAUACUAUCGGAUGAACCCAUAUGGGAUUAGCUAGUAGGGGGGGUAAAGGCUCACCUAGGCGACGAUCUCUAGCUGGUCUGAGAGGAUGGGCAGCCACACCGGGACGGAGACACGGCCCAGACUCCUACGGGAGGCAGAAGUGGGGAAUAUUGCACAAUGGGCGCAAGCCUGAUGCAGCCAUGCCGCGUGUAUGAAGAAGGCCGUAGGGUUGCAAAGUACGUUCAGCGGGGAGGCGUUACCCGCAGAAGAAGCACCGGCUAACUCCGUGCCAGCAGCCGCGGUAAUUC